rnacentral:rRNA from 1 species
AUUGAACGCUGGCGGCAGGCCUAACACAUGCAAGUCGAACGAGUGGCGGACGGGUGAGUAAUGUCGGGGAAACUGCCUGAUGGAGGGGGAUAACUUCUGGAAACGGUAGCUAUUCCCGCAUACCAUCGGAUGUGUCCAGAUGGGAUUAGCUAGUAGGUGGGGUAAAGGCUCACCUAUGCGACGAUCCCUAGCUAGUCUGAGAGGAUGACCAGAGACACUGGAACUGAGACUCGGCCCAGACUCCUACGGGAGGCAGCAGUGGGGAAUCUUCCGGAAGGGAGGAAAGUCUGACGGAGCAACGCCGCGGGAGUGAUGACGGCCUGCGGGGUGUAAAGUUUGUUAAUCGGGACGACGGUACCGGAAGAGAAAGCCACGGCUAACUACGUGCCAGCAGCCGCGGUAAUAC